GCAGCUAUAGUUUAGAGGUAGAAUGUUGGUCUCCAAAACCAAGGACGGAGGUUCGAGUCCUUCUAGCUGUG
rnacentral:tRNA from 1 species